UGGCGGACGGGUGAGUAACGCGUGGAAAACCUGCCGUAUACUGGGGGAUAACACUUAGAAAUAGGUGCUAAUACCGCAUAAGCGCACAGCUUCGCAUGAAGCGGUGUGAAAAACUCUGGUGGUAUACGAUGGUUCCGCGUCUGAUUAGCUAGUUGGUGGGGUAAUGGCCUACCAAGGCAACGAUCAGUAGCCGGCCUGAGAGGGUGAACGGCCACAUUGGGACUGAGACACGGCCCAAACUCCUACGGAAGGCAGCA
rnacentral:rRNA from 1 species